rnacentral:rRNA from 1 species
CCUACGGGAGGCAGCAGUGGGGAAUUUUGGACAAUGGGCGAAAGCCUGAUCCAGCCAUACCGCGUGCGGGAAGAAGGCCUUCGGGUUGUAAACCGCUUUUGUCAGGGAAGAAAUACUUCGGGCUAAUACCCUGGGGUGAUGACGGUACCUGAAGAAUAAGCACCGGCUAACUACGUGCCAGCAGCCGCGGUAAUACGUAGGGUGCAAGCGUUAAUCGGAAUUACUGGGCGUAAAGCGUGCGCAGGCGGUUCUAUAAGACAGAUGUGAAAUCCCCGGGCUCAACCUGGGAACUGCAUUUGUGACUGUAGAGCUAGAGUACGGUAGAGGGGGAUGGAAUUCCGCGUGUAGCAGUGAAAUGCGUAGAUAUGCGGAGGAACACCGAUGGCGAAGGCAAUCCCCUGGACCUGUACUGACGCUCAUGCACGAAAGCGUGGGGAGCAAACAGGAUUAGAUACCCUGGUAGUCCACGCCCUAAACGAUGUCAACUGGUUGUUGGGAGGGUUUCUUCUCAGUAACGAAGCUAACGCGUGAAGUUGACCGCCUGGGGAGUCGGCCGCAAGGUUGAAACUCAAAGGAUUGACGGNNGAGAGNGCGAGCGACGACGAGGGAGAGG